UGAACUCACAACCGCUGGGCCGGCUGCAAGUUCCCCGCCCCUACAGCUUUUGGUCACCUUGACACAGGGACCCUAAAACGCAUUAAAUUCAUCUCUCCCUAUCUCUCUCUCUUCUCGCUCUCUCUUUUUUUCUUUGUCUCUGUCUCCUCUCUCCUCUCCUAUCUACUUUCUCUCUGUUCUGUCUAUUCUUUCUCUCUUUUUUUGUCUCCUCUCUCCUCUUUCCCUCCUGCUUCUGUUUCUUUUGACAGAAGAGACAGUUACUCCUUUUUUAUCCUAAACGGGCAAAGAGGAAUGGUAGUUUCUUAUUUAAAGUUUGAUUCCCUAAAACAGAGAAAAAAACUACACCCAAGUCGUCGGGGGCAGAAUUUUCUCUUGGACAUGAAAAAAAGGAAGAACGAGGCCUCAAUGAUAGAAUAAGAAGAAGAAAAGGAAAGAGAACAGAAUUAUUUCCAGGGGUGUAAACUCGAUUAGAGUUCCUUGAAGUCAGUGGUCACUUAGCCAAUGGAGAAUAUUAUCCACCUCAAGAGUAACAGGUCUAAACCACUAUAUAUUGGCCAACAGAAGUCUAACAAAACUGGUGAAUUUACAAUAAAGACAGAACCACAUAUAGGAUUGACAGACAAAGGAUGGGUGCCCCCCAGAUGGGAGACCAGUCUGAUGCCUGCCCAGCCACGUCCUCAGAGGGAUGUUUCAGAGCGUCUUGGCUAAUAUGUACCUGUAUAAACCCUGGGCCUGGCCACCUCAGAAUUUUCAGUUCUGAGAUGAAUCACAAUUAUGCCUUAUGACAUCCCCAUGGAACCUUGGGUGAAGGCCCAUACAAGCCCCAUAGCCUUCCAGCUGUGGGACUACAUAUAUACACACUCACUGUCUCACUCACACCGAGGUUAUGGAAAACAACCGAAAGCUAAAUUACCGAAGCCUCUCAUGAGGCAACCUGAGCCUCCAGUGACAUCUCACGGAACAAACAUGGGUGUAAAACUCCUCUGCAAAGGUUUCUUUGAAAACUUUGAAAAGAAAAUAUGGUUCAGAAAAGUUUUCCCAACAGAAAUGACUUCCCACUUUUCUCCAUCCUGCAAAUCAUUUGAAAGCUCCUACUCAAGUUGCAUCUGCGUUGAACAGUCUGUGCCAUGCCAGGCCUCUUUGUUUUAUGGAUUCAUAAGAUCAUCAGAGGAGAGGAAAAUCUGUAAUAAAACACGGAUUAUGAAGACCCCAAGAAAAAAAGUUAAACUUUGA
rnacentral:lncRNA from 13 species